rnacentral:rRNA from 1 species
AUUGAACGCUGGCGGCAGGCCUAACACAUGCAAGUCGAACGGAUCCUUCGGGAUUAGUGGCGGACGGGUGAGUAACACGUGGGAACGUGCCCUUUGGUUCGGAACAACUCAGGGAAACUUGAGCUAAUACCGGAUGUGCCCUUCGGGGGAAAGAUUUAUCGCCAUUGGAGCGGCCCGCGUCUGAUUAGCUAGUUGGUGGGGUAAAGGCCCACCAAGGCGACGAUCAGUAGCUGGUCUGAAAGGAUGAUCAGCCACAUUGGGACUGAGACACGGCCCAAACUCCUACGGGAGGCAGCAGUGGGGAAUCUUGCGCAAUGGCAAAAGCCUGACGCAGCCAUGCCGCGUGAAUGAUGAAGGUCUUAGGAUUGUAAAAUUCUUUCACCGGGGACGAUAAUGACGGUACCCGGAGAAGAAGCCCCGGCUAACUUCGUGCCAGCAGCCGCCGUAACAC